GUAAGGGGCAAGCGUUGUUCGGAAUUAUGGGCGUAAAGGGCGCGUAGGCGGCGUUUUCAAGUCUGGUGUAAAAGGGAUACGGGCUUUAAACCGGUAAUCAUGCGCUGGAAACUGAAAGGCUAGAGUUCUAGACGGGGGAGUUGGAAUUCCUGGUGUAGGGGUGAAAUCUGUAGAUAUCAGGAAGAACACCGGUGGCGAAGGCGAACUCCUGGCUGGAUACUGACGCUGAGGCGCGAAAGCGUGGGGAGCGAACAGGAUUAGAUACCCUGGUAGUCCACGCUGUAAACGAUGUGCACUAGGUGUCUGUCUGUCGAGGAUGGGUGCCGUAGCUAACGCGUUAAGUGCACCGCCUGGGGAGUAUGCUCGCAAGGGUG
rnacentral:rRNA from 1 species